rnacentral:rRNA from 1 species
GAUGAACGCUGGCGGCGUGCCUAAUACAUGCAAGUCGAGCGAACAGACGAGGAGCUUGCUCCUUCGACGUUAGCGGCGGACGGGUGAGUAACACGUGGAUAACCUACCUAUAAGACUGGGAUAACUUCGGGAAACCGGAGCUAAUACCGGAUAAUAUUUUGAACCGCAUGGUUCGAUAGUGAAAGAUGGCUUUGCUGUCACUUAUAGAUGGAUCUGCGCCGUAUUAGCUAGUUGGUAAGGUAACGGCUUACCAAGGCAACGAUUCGUAGCCGACCUGAGAGGGGGAUCGGCCACACUGGAACUGAGACACGGUCCAGACUCCUACGGGAGGCAGCAGUAGGGAAUCUUCCGCAAUGGGCGAAAGCCUGACGGAGCAACGCCGCGUGAGUGAUGAAGGUCUUCGGAUCGUAAAACUCUGUUAUUAGGGAAGAACAAAUGUGUAAGUAACUGUGCACGGCUUGACGGUACCUAAUCAGAAAGCCACGGCUAACUACGUG